rnacentral:rRNA from 1 species
AUUGAACGCUGGCGGCAGGCCUAACACAUGCAAGUCGAACGAGUGGCGGACGGGUGAGUAAUGUCUGGGAAACUGCCUGAUGGAGGGGGAUAACUACUGGAAACGGUAGCUAAUACCGCAUACCAUCGGAUGUGCCCAGAUGGGAUUAGCUAGUAGGUGGGGUAACGGCUCACCUAGGCGACGAUCCCUAGCUGGUCUGAGAGGGUGACCAGCCAAUCUGGAACGGGAAAAGGGUGCAGACGCCUACGGGAGGCAGGCGUGGGGAAUAUUGCACAAUGGGCGCAAGCCUGAUGCAGACAGGCCGCGGGUAUGAAGAAGGCCUUCGGGGUGUAAAGUACGUUCAGCGGGGAGGCGUUACCCGCAGAAGAAGCACCGGCUAACUCCGUGCCAGCAGCCGCGGUAAUUC